CAGUGCUUUGGAGCCAGCUGAGGUUCAGUGAGAUCAUGAGGGUGGGGGCCCGGUCCCACAGGACUGCUGUCCUUAGGAGGCACCGGAGCGCUCACUGCCGUCCUCCCCAGCGCAGGAAGGUGACUGUCCACGAGCCAAAAAGAGAGGUCACCAGAUCCAGAACCCGCCAGCUCCUUGAGCUCGGACUCCCGGCCCCAAGCUGCGAGUUUCUUCAUCUCUAAGAAGGAUGCCAGGGCAGACUGAUCAGCCCUGGAAGCCGGAGGCUGAAGAACAAGUGGAAAGCAGAACUGUGGUUGAGGAACAGGGCUGGAGGUCCAGUGGAGGGCGCAGUGGCCUCUGUCCAUCAAUUUUCCACUCAAUUCCUUCUCCAGGAGAACCUCUAGCCGGAUCUGAAUGGAAUGGUCACUCAUUUAGUUAGUCAACAAACAUGCGUAGCCCUGCCAGAUAGCACCUGGGCCGGGUGCUGUGAUGCAGCAAGGAAAGUGCUUGGGUCCCCACCAAGAUUCACACCACUCAGGCCAUCACUGUGCUGAAUGAAAGGCUUCCCAGUGGGUAGCGGGAAAGAAGCCUGGUCGUCAGACAGACCUUGUCAGCUGGAGACACUGGGCAAGCCACGCAUGUGCCCCAAGUUCUUUCUUCUUCUUUUUGUAAAUCUUUUUUUUUUUUGGUAUCGGGGAUUGAACUUGGGUCCUUGCGCUUGCGCAGCAGGCAGCGAAACCACUGAGCUAAAUCCCCGGCCCUUCUUUUUGUAAAUCUUUCUUUUUUUU
ensembl:lncRNA